rnacentral:rRNA from 1 species
UACGUAGGGGGCGAGCGUUGUCCGGAUUUAUUGGGCGUAAAGAGCGUGUAGGCGGCUUGGUAGGUCCGCUGUGAAAACUCGAGGCUCAACCUCGAGAUGUCGGCGGAAACCACUUGGCUAGAGUCCGGAAGAGGAGAGUGGAAUUCCCGGUGUAGCGGUGAAAUGCGCAGAUAUCAGGAGGAACACCGAUGGCGAAGGCAGGUCUCUGGGCCAUUACUGACACUGAGAAGCGAAAGCAUGGGGAGCGAACAGG